GUAGAGCAGAGGGGUAGGGGAGUGGGGUGUGUUGAGAUGGGCUUGGGUGAGCCAUAGCAUUUGGAUCAGGACCGGCAUGGUGCUUCUGGCACAAAAUUGGGCAGGUCAUAGGCCUGUGGUGCUCAGAAGUGGUGGGAUCCAAAAUGAUGUAUUGUAUAAGGACCAUGUUUGUUUUAUCAUUAACUGCAUGAAGGCAUCAACAAAUUGCACAGUUGGAAUGAUGUGAGAGGAUCUGGCAGCACUGAGAGAAGAAAUAGAGGGGAUGCAACCUCAUGACAGCUGGUGAUUAAGUCAAUUAUGGUUCCUGUCACUCUCUCUGGAUCAUAUUGUGUUGGAUGUCAAUCACGCACGCUUGGCAAAGGAUGACAAUGUCAUAUCAUUGUUGUAUCACCCACACAUUACACAAACAGAUCCGUGUUUACACACACAGAACUGCUGUUCCAGAGUUUACAGCUCAGUUUACAGUCUUGCUGUUGAACAGAACUCUGUUAAUAUCCUACGGCUGGAAUUUGUGUGUCCCUCCGGAGCAGUUUUGGAGAGCACAGCGGCAGCACAGUGCUGAAAACCGACCAUGUGUAGUAAUUCCAGCUAAAGUCUGUCUGCCUUGAAUUAGUAGCCCUAGUCUGUAGUCUGUAGUGUGUAGUCUGUAGUGUGUAGUCUGUAGUCUGUAGUGUGUAAUCUGUAGUGUGUAGUCUGUAGUCUGUAGUGUGUAGUCUGUAGUCUGUAGUGUGUGUGACAGUGGAAGCAUACAAAUUGAUGAAUACCCUCACCCUGACAGCUCAUCCUCAUCUUCCUCUUCUCCUUCCUCUUCUUCCUCCUCUUCUCCCUCCUCGUCCGUCCCUCUUCCUCUUUUUCCUCAUCGUCAUCCUCCUCCUCCUCUCCCAGGGAACCCACCCGUCCAUAGCCUCGUCAUCCGUGUUCAGCCCCUUCCCUUCCCUCAGCGUGGAGAGCCAAGGCUCGGCCACCCCCCUCAUCAUGUGUCGCAGUCCCACAGAUGUGAAGAGCAAGAUGUCUCCCAGGUCAAACUUGAAGUUCCGCUUUGACAAGAUGAGCCACUCCACAACAUCCGAGUAGAAAUCUGGAUAUUCCAAAAAAGGGACAACACUGGCUGUUGGAGCAAAAAACAGCCACAACAUCACCCACGCAUCACAAUGGAAUCCCAAAAUGUACUUAACUUCAUGACUUAAGGGAAUUAAGUGGACUAGCUAGUGCGUAAGAGCACACACACACGCAGACAGAUACUGAGCUGGAAAGGAGGAAGAAUCCUGUGAGUCUGAACUAAGAAGUGGUGAAAGAAAGGUUCCUCUCAGUAUCUCUCUCUCGACAUGUCUGGUACAGAAAUAGCUCACAGUGAGAGGUGCCCACGUGUCGCUGACAUCACACCACAUGUUUAUUGGCCUCUGGUCUGAUUAAAAUACUCAUCUGUAACAUUAACCUGAUACAACUAGACAAGGCAAGGUUUAAAGGUCCAAUGCAGGCAUGUUUAUCUCAAUAUCCAAUCAUUUCUGGGUAACAACUAAGUACCUUACUGUGAUUGUUUUCAAUUCAAAUUGUCAAAAAGAAACAGAAAUAGCUUCUUAGCAAAGGGCAAUUUCUCAAGCAAGAAUCUUGCUAGGCCUGUGGGGAGGGAAAACUGAAAAGGAGCUGUUAUUGGCAGAGAGGUUUGGAACUCUCUUUCUUAUUGGUCUAUUAACCAAUUUACCGCAUGGUGAUGUCACCGUGGAAGGCCAAACCUCUAUCCCAGCAGAACAGGCUGAAAUUUCAGGAGCUCUUUUCAAACAGCUCCUACAAUAAAAGGGCAUUAUCAUCAUCAUAUUUCACAGUAUUAUUCCAACCUCAUAGUGUGGAAAUAUAUAUAAAACACAGGACAAUCUCGUUUUUGACUGCACUGGGCCUUUAACCUCACAACAUUCGUCUGUCAUUGAUUUAUGACACUGUGGUGAUAGGUCACUUUUCCGCUGUACUCAUCUCUCAUAUUACAGUGAUUGUUUAUUGUUGUCCUCUUCUGUUAUGAUCUCCAUAUCUGGGUCCAGGUUGGUGUAAGUUGUUGUACUAUCCUUCAGAAAGGGAUGUUGUUGUUAACCUGGGGGACUGUCUCUCUUGCCUUUGCCCCAGUAUGUCUGUUUGGGGACAGUUCCUCCAUUGCCUAACAAGGAGUUCCUGCUGCGGUAGUUUAGCUGCUUUUUAAGUCACCUGUUGUAAUGCUAGUCGUCUAAACCCCUUGGCCUCACAUACAGUAUGUAUCUGCUGCACAGUCAAGGCAGGUCAAUAGAAUGGAUCAAUCCACAAUAGAGAUAGAUGCAGUAUUUAUGUACUGUAUAUAUACUAGGGUUGCUAGGGUUGGGGUCAAUUCCAUUUCCGUUCCUUUUUUUUUUAUCUCGUAGGAAUAUAUUGAGGACAAUUGGAAUUUAACUUUACUUCCUGAAUUGACAUGGAAUUGAUAGAUACAGUGUUUAUCUCUAUGGCUCAAUCCUCAUCGAACAGUUUUGAAGUAUUCAAGUUUGUCUUAAGCUGCAGAAGGAAGGGACUUUACCCUCAUAAACCAAGUGCUCUAUUAGUGGAGAUUUGCUCACAUGAAAAUAAAAAUGCCAUUGCGCUCUGUCACAAGCUUAAUAUAGCCAAAGUCGCGCCUUACAAUCUAUCUGAAACCCUUACACCUUCCGGGUGCUUCUCACUGUGUGAGAGGUUGAGCAGAGAGUUUGGAUAAGUUUAUUUGGUUUGCGUUUAGCUGUGGGUGUCUGGUGAAUCCAAAACCUGCGUUCAAAUACUAUUUGAAAUCUUUCAAACACUUUGAGUGUGCGCUCCAGCCUGCCUUGGUUUGCAGUUUUGGGACAGGCAAGUUAAUCAAGCACAGAUCCUGGAUUUGAAAUGGUUUAAUAUAGUAUUUGAGCCCAGGUCUGCUUUUCACGUGCCCUUAUACAAACAUCCAGUUGUAUUUCACCCAAGUUCAUCAAUGUUCGUUGAAAACAUGGCUGCUUAUGAAGGAGGCUUAGCUGAGAAACACACGGACUGCUCCAUGGAAAUCAUGUUUAGCCGUUCAAGUCAUUUCGCAAUGUUUUUUUUUUUCUCUCACUAACAUUUCUCCAAAAAUAAAUAAUUGUCCAGAGAAUAUUUUAAAGAGAUCUUACGUAUUUUGGAAGUGUGAUUGAACGCUUUGUGAUUUUGAUGGUUCAUUUUUCAGUCUUAAGUGAAAGCAAACAGAAAAAAAAAAAAUGUGAUGUUAAAAAAAAAAACACAAAAAAACUAUGUUAGAGCAUNNNNNNNNNNGAGAUGGGCUUGGGUGAGCCAUAGCAUUUGGAUCAGGACCGGCAUGGUGCUUCUGGCACAAAAUUGGGCAGGUCAUAGGCCUGUGGUGCUCAGAAGUGGUGGGAUCCAAAAUGAUGUAUUGUAUAAGGACCAUGUUUGUUUUAUCAUUAACUGCAUGAAGGCAUCAACAAAUUGCACAGUUGGAAUGAUGUGAGAGGAUCUGGCAGCACUGAGAGAAGAAAUAGAGGGGAUGCAACCUCAUGACAGCUGGUGAUUAAGUCAAUUAUGGUUCCUGUCACUCUCUCUGGAUCAUAUUGUGU
rnacentral:lncRNA from 13 species